rnacentral:rRNA from 1 species
AUUGAACGCUGGCGGCAUGCCUUACACAUGCAAGUCGAACGGCAGCACGGGUGCUUGCACCUGGUGGCGAGUGGCGAACGGGUGAGUAAUACAUCGGAACAUGUCCUGUAGUGGGGGAUAGCCCGUCGAAAGCCGGAUUAUUACCCCAUACGAUCUACGGAGGAAAGCGGGGGACCUUCGGGCCUCGCGCUUUCGGUUUGGCCGAUGGCUGAUUAGCUAGUUGGUGGGGUAAGGGCCUACCAAGGCGACGAUCAGUAGCUGGUCUGAGAGGACGACCAGCCACACUGGGACUGAGACACGGCCCAGACUCCUACGGGAGGCAGCAGUGGGGAAUUUUGGACAAUGGGCGAAAGCCUGAUCCAGCAAUGCCGCGUGUGUGAAGAAGGCCUUCGGGUUGUAAAGCACUUUUGUCCGGAAAGAAAUCCUUGGCCCUAAUACGGUCGGGGGAUGACGGUACCGGAAGAAUAAGCACCGGCUAACUACGUG